rnacentral:rRNA from 1 species
GACAGAGGCCACGAACGUUGUUCGGAAUUACUGGGCGUAAAGGGCUCGUAGGCGGCCAACUAAGUCAGACGUGAAAUCCCUCAGCUUAACUGGGGAACUGCGUCUGAUACUGGAUGGCUUGGAUUUGGGAGAGGGAUGUGGAAUUCCAGGUGUAGCGGUGAAAUGCGUAGAUAUCUGGAGGAACACCGGUGGCGAAGGCGGCAUCCUGGACCAAUAUUGACGCUGAGGAGCGAAAGCCAGGGGAGCAAACGGG